rnacentral:rRNA from 1 species
GUGACGGGCCGCACAAGCGGAGGAACAUGUGGUUUAAUUCGAUGAUACGCGAGGAACCGUUACCUAGGGCUUAAAUGUAGAGUGCAUUUCUAGAGAUAGGAAUUCCCUUCGGGGCAGAGAGACAGGUGGUGCAUGGUUGUCGUCAGCUCGUGUCGUGAGAUGUUGGGUUAAGUCCCGCAACGAGCGCAACCCUUAUUGCCAGUUACCAUCAUUAAGUUGGGGACUCUGGCGAGACUGCCGUGGAUAACACGGAGGAAGGUGGGAUGACGUCAAAUCAUCAUGCCCCUUAUGUCCUGGGCUACACACGUACUACAAUGGCAACAACAAAAAGCAGCAAAACCGCGAGGUCAAGCGAAUCUCCAAAUGUUGUCUCAGUUCGGAUUGCAGGCUGCAACUCGCCUGCAUGAAGUCGGAAUUGCUAGUAAUGGCAGGUCAGCAUACUGCCGUGAAUACGUUCCCGGGCCUU